GGGGAAUAUUGGACAAUGGGCGCAAGCCUGAUCCAGCCAUGCCGCGUGGGUGAAGAAGGCCUUCGGGUUGUAAAGCCCUUUUGUCCGGAAAGAAAUCCUGUCGGUUAAUACCCGGCGGGGAUGACGGUACCGGAAGAAUAAGCACCGGCUAACUUCGUGCCAGCAGCCGCGGUAAUACGAAGGGUGCAAGCGUUACUCGGAAUUACUGGGCGUAAAGCGUGCGUAGGCGGUUCGUUAAGUCCGAUGUGAAAGCCCUGGGCUCAACCUGGGAACUGCAUUGGAUACUGGCGAGCUAGAGUGCGGUAGAGGAUGGUGGAAUUCCCGGUGUAGCGGUGAAAUGCGUAGAGAUCGGGAGGAACACCAGUGGCGAAGGCGGCCAUCUGGACCAGCACUGACGCUGAGGCACGAAAGCGUGGGGAGCAAACA
rnacentral:rRNA from 1 species